rnacentral:tRNA from 1 species
CAUUAAGUGGCUGAAAGUAAGCAUUGGUCUCUUAAACCAAAUUAUGGUAUCUACAAAUACCCUUAAUGG